UACGUAGGGGGCAAGCGGUUGUCCGGAUUUAUUGGGCGUAAAGAGCGUGUAGGCGGCCUGAAAGGUCAGCUGUGAAAACUCGAGGCUCAACCUCGAGACGUCGGUUGAAACCAUCUGGCUAGAGUCCGGAAGAGGAGUGUGGAAUUCCCGGUGUAGCGGUGAAAUGCGCAGAUAUCGGGAAGAACACCCGUGGCGAAGGCGGCACUCUGGGACGGUACUGACGCUGAGACGCGAAAGCGUGGGGAGCGAACAGG
rnacentral:rRNA from 1 species